UACGUAGGGUGCAAGCGUUAAUCGGAAUUACUGGGCGUAAAGCGUGUGCAGGCGGUUGUGCAAGACAGAUGUGAAAUCCCCGGGCUCAACCUGGGAAUUGCAUUUGUGACUGCACGGCUAGAGUGUGUCAGAGGGGGGUAGAAUUCCACGUGUAGCAGUGAAAUGCGUAGAGAUGUGGAGGAAUACCGAUGGCGAAGGCAGCCCCCUGGGAUAACACUGACGCUCAUGCACGAAAGCGUGGGGAGCAAACAGG
rnacentral:rRNA from 1 species